rnacentral:SRP_RNA from 1 species
GCCAGGCAUGAUGGUGCAUGCCUGUAGUCCCAGCUACUUGGGAGGCUGAGAUAGGAGGAUCACUUGAGCCCGGGAGGUUGAGGCUGCAUUGAGCUGUGAUCCUGCCACUGCACUCCAGCCUGGGUGACAGAGUGAGACUCUGUCUCUU